rnacentral:lncRNA from 1 species
UCCCCCAACAGCACCGAGUUUAUAUCCAGGCAGCUGCUGGCAGAGUUAUACAAUCUGCUGAGCGUCAGGAACACAAGCUGCUGAGCAUCGGGGAUACAAGUGGCUGAGCGUCAAGCACAGAAGCAGCAACUGAACAUCAGAGACUAAGGAUAGACAUGGCUAACUUCAGAUGGUGUGGCUUCAGGGAAACAUCACCUUCUUCCUGCACUACCUCCUUUCCAAUUCCCCAUCCCACUGAGAGCCACGCUUAUUGCCCAAUAAAAUCCUCCGUGUAUACUACCCUUCAAUCCGUU